rnacentral:rRNA from 1 species
AACGUAGGUGGCGAGCGUUUAUCCGGAUUUACUGGGCGUAAAGCGUGUGCAGGUGGCCUGUUAAGUGGUGUAUGAAAUCGCCCGGCUCAACCGGGCGGGGUUAUGCCAGACUGGCAGGCUAGAGGGUGGGAGAGGGAUGUGGAAUUCCGGGUGUAGUGGUGAAAUGCGUAGAGAUCCGGAGGAACCCCAGAGGCGAAGGCGGCAUCCUGGCCCGACGACUGACACUCAGACACGACA